rnacentral:rRNA from 1 species
UACGAAGGGUGCAAGCGUUAAUCGGAAUUACUGGGCGUAAAGGGUGCGUAGGCGGUUCGUUAAGUCUGUCGUGAAAUCCCCGGGCUCAACCUGGGAAUGGCGAUGGAUACUGGCGAGCUAGAGUGUGUCAGAGGAUGGUGGAAUUCCCGGUGUAGCGGUGAAAUGCGUAGAGAUCGGGAGGAACAUCAGUGGCGAAGACGGCCAUCUGGGACAACACUGACGCUGAAGCACGAAAGCGUGGGGAGCAAACAGG